UCGCCCUGCUCCGCAGUCAAUCGCCGGUUAGGAAAGAUAAGAUGACACACAACGUACCAAUCACAACAGCAGACCACACACAUUAGAGCCUGACACCUUUUCAUGAAUCCCGCGAGAUCGGAGUCAACUUUACUAUUAAUCACGUGAUCGUGACGGUGCAUGAUAAAUAGUUACCCGGAACCAACCACUUGGCGAUGACUUGUGAAGCCACACGGCCGCCACAUUGCCACUCGCAAGAAACACUUCUCGACAAGCUUUUGCAUUCGUGGUGAACUUCUUUAGUUAAUUCGCAUUGGACACGAAUGUUGCCGUAAGAUGCCUGCAUGUGCAGCUAUUAACUGCACAAAUCACCAGUUCAAAGGCUGUGGACGAACAUUUCACCUCGGAGAUGCAAGGACCUGCGAGUCAAAUUCUUUCCAUAUCCCACCUGUUGCUGCAGGAACUGGGGCAGAGCUGGUGGCAGAGCUUGAUCCAGAUGAUGAAGGUGCUGAGGUCUGAGUCACUGACUGCAUGUCUGUAAUAAGUCCAGCUUUUACAGGCUCAACAUUUCCAGAGUCACGGAAUCCCAGAUUUUUAAAUCAAAUGUCCAUGUAGGGUUGCUAUGGCUCAGCCUCAGCCGGUAUCCAGUGCACACUGACAUACUCUGUAACGUGAUUGGCUGCUGGCUCUGCAAGGCAGGGCACAGAACAAGAAAGGGCAGGAAGGCAAAAAAAGGAAAGAGACGACGGUGGAGUGCUGAGGCAGAGCAUCUCUAGCAAGAGCAGUGAGUACCGUGUUACCGGGAAAACCAUGACAAAAGGUGGGUGGGGACAGCAGGAAAACAAAGCCACCAUUUUUGUUUUUUUUUCUUUUUUUCAUGUGAUUGUAACAGUGAUGGGAUGAGGAAUGCCACACAAGAAGGCAAGAUGACAUAAAUGAUGGAAAAUAGGCGAUAUCUACAUGCAGUAUCCUCCUUGGUCAUUUAUGCUGAUAUUUGGAGCCAUAGUGUGAAGAGGAACACAAGGAAAACCAGUGCAAGACAGAGACGAGAGAAGAUUAAAGGAGGGCGGACACUUUGGUAUGUAACACCACAAAAGCCAUAAAUAAAACCACAAGAUUUUUCACACACAGCCUCCACGAGCAGGCCGGGGCUCCAGUCAACAUUGGCAAAGUGGCAGCAGAAAAGAACGAGGCAUCUGCUAGAACUGAGGGGCAGGAGAGAUCGACAAGGAGAAGGACGAGGGGACACAGUGUGGUGUGCAGGGUUGGUGCUGAGAGAACGGAGACGGAAGAGGUGUGCUGGAAGAAGACAGAACCAAUGGCUCGGGGCAGCGGCUCAGGGAGGUGGAGCAGGCAGAGAAUGGGUUUGGUCAACACCAUGCUGCGUUGCAACCUACCACCAGAGACACAGAAGGUGGUUGUUUUUCUCAUCAUGAUGCUACUCAUCAUCAUCAACGUAGUGCUCAUGUUCCUGUUGGCGUUCCAGUAGAACACGGACACACACCACCUCAUGCUUUCACACACAUGGAAAGUGGGGGAAAAAAGUACAGCUGCCCUGUUGAGACGCUGAGCUGCUUGAACUGAUUGGAGUCCAAAAUGUCAGCAACACAACACAGGUACUUUCCAAAAGACAGGAAGGAUCCUUUAGGUGUAUGUGACCUGUGCACAUGCAGAAGAAACUUUUUAUGUUUAGGUAUGGACAACCUGACCUACUUUCUGCUUAUGCAUGUUUUGCCUAUUUCAGUGUAAAAUGCUAUCCAAAUAGCCAAAACUACAGUAAUUUUGCAGUUAAAAUCUAAUGACAAGCUUUAAAAAAACAAAUAGUAAAGUGCACAGUUGGUACAGUACUGUCAAUUGUAAUCAUUUCCUGUUCCAAAUUGGAAUACUAUUUGUGCCCUUAGACCCACGUUUUUCAAUAUUUUUGUCUUACACUUCAUGUAUGUCCUUCUGUUUACGUAUGUGAUGAAUGUUCAUAUGCAUCAUAUAUAACCUGGAAGAUAUUACACUAAAAUCAAGCCACAAUGUUUUAUGUUUUGCCAAAAUAGUUUUAUUGUAGACACAUUUUGUCAGCCAGUAAACAGAAGAUUGACUAUAAAGAGAGAAUGUGCUGUUUACUGACUGGCCGUGGGCCGUAUGUGUGAUUGUUCCACUUUCACUUUCUUUCAAGAUCUAUUACAAACUUGCUAAGGCCAAGGCUAAGGCUAGGGUUAGGGUUAGACACUGUGUGUUCACACUUGUCAUUUUGGUCAGGGUCAAACAGGACUGACAGAUGGGUCUCAGUCGCCGUGCAAGUGGAUUCUAGUCCUGAGUGAAGGCCGACUACCAACGCACAAAAACACUGGAUAUGUCACCAAAUGCAAAACUCAACAGAAAGUUGAGUGCAAAUGAUGAAAAAAUAACAAAGAAGUGUCAGCCCAGUAGUGUACCUAAAGUAGUUAAACAUACGGUACCUGGAUCUUUUCAGCAGAGUCCUGAUGACCAUUAUAGUUCUCUGUUGUCAUCAGAAACACCACCGCCUCAUGUCAUUUAUAUUGUCUUUCUUGUAUGUGACCCGAAAGACAUGUUUUGGGUGUGUGAGGUCAUCAGACAACACAGUAUAUACUGUACAUCACAUAUGCUGUCCAAUAGAGGUGCAACUUUAUGCUUAACCAAACAUUAUUUGGUCCGCUGACAAAAAUACAAGUGUGAACUCUAACUGAAACACAAAAGUUACCACCAAAUAUCUUUUUUUAGUCCGGACUGGAGGACCAAACUACAUCUGUGAAAGCACCCAUAGAAGAAUAACUACAAAACAAUGUGGGGUUGUUUACUGUACUUAAAUUUAGUUGGGCUGUAUGUGUGCUCAUUUAAUGUUCACUGUGUCUUUCAAGAUCGAUUUUAAAUUUGGAUGUAAUGAAUUAAAAAAUAUAUAUACAUAUAUUGAUUUUUUUUAGGUGUUUGAUUUAUUACUUUUUUCUUUACAAGGCAAAUUUAGGUGGUAGAAGAACAUGUAUUGAUCUGAGGGUGUAUUAGUCCUGGUCUGGAUCUAGAUGCAGAAUUAAAACAUUAAAACUACACAAAGGACAUUCCAUCCAGUGA